CCUACGGGUGGCAGCAGUGAGGAAUAUUGGUCAAUGGGCUAAGGCCUGAACCAGCCAAGUCGCGUGAGGGAAGACGGUCCUAUGGAUGGUAAACAUCUUUUGUCGGGGAGCAACGAGGCCACGUGUGGCCGAAGUGAGAGUACCCGAAGAAAAAGCAUCGGCUAACUCCGUGCCAGCAGCCGCGGUAAUACGAAGGUGGCGAGCGUUGUCCGGAUUUAUUGGGUUUAAAGGGUGCGUAGGCGGAUCAUUAAGUCAGCGGGAAAAUCGAGGGGCUCAACCCCUUUAAGCCGUUGAAACUGGUGAUCUUGAGUGGGCGAGAAGUAUGUGGAAUGCGUGGUGUAGCGGUGAAAUGCGUAGAGAUCACGAAGAAUUCCGAUUGCGAAGGCAGCAUCCCGGCGCCCGACUGACGCUGAGGCACGAAAGCGUGGGGAUCGAACAGGAUUAGAUACCCUUGUAGUC
rnacentral:rRNA from 1 species